GUCCACGCCGUAAACGAUGGGCACUAGGUGCUUGGGGGAGCGACCCUCUGAGUGCCGGCGCUAACGCAUUAAGUGCCCCGCCUGGGGAGUACGGCCGCAAGGCUGAAACUCAAAGGAAUUGACGGGGGCCCGCACAAGCGGUGGAGCAUGUGGUUUAAUUCGACGCAACGCGAAGAACCUUACCUAGGCUUGACAUGCAGAGGAAAGCUCUGAGAAACCAGAGCCCUCCUUCGGGACUUCUGCACAGGUGCUGCAUGGCUGUCGU
rnacentral:rRNA from 1 species